UGAGUAAUGCGUGACCGACCUGCCCCAUGCACCGGAAUAGCUCCUGGAAACGGGUGGUAAUGCCGGAUGCUCCAUCACAUCGCAUGGUGUGUUGGGAAAGCCUUUGCGGCAUGGGAUGGGGUCGCGUCCUAUCAGCUUGAUGGCGGGGUAACGGCCCACCAUGGCUUCGACGGGUAGCCGGCCUGAGAGGGCGACCGGCCACAUUGGGACUGAGAUACGGCCCAGACUCCUACGGGAGGCAGCAGUGGGGAAUAUUGCACAAUGGGCGCAAGCCUGAUGCAGCGACGCCGCGUGAGGGAUGGAGGCCUUCGGGUUGUAAACCUCUUUUGUUAGGGAGCAAGGCACUUUGUGUUGAGUGUACCUUUCGAAUAAGCACCGGCUAACUACGUGCCAGCAGCCGCGGUAAUACGUAGGGUGCAAGCGUUAUCCGGAAUUAUUGGGCGUAAAGGGCUCGUAGGCGGUUCGUCGCGUCCGGUGUGAAAGUCCAUCGCUUAACGGUGGAUCCGCGCCGGGUACGGGCGGGCUUGAGUGCGGUAGGGGAGACUGGAAUUCCCGGUGUAACGGUGGAAUGUGUAGAUAUCGGGAAGAACACCAAUGGCGAAGGCAGGUCUCUGGGCCGUUACUGACGCUGAGGAGCGAAAGCGUGGGGAGCGAACAGGAUUAGAUACCCUGGUAGUCCACGCCGUAAACGGUGGAUGCUGGAUGUGGGGCCCGUUCCACGGGUUCCGUGUCGGAGCUAACGCGUUAAGCAUCCCGCCUGGGGAGUACGGCCGCAAGGCUAAAACUCAAAGAAAUUGACGGGGGCCCGCACAAGCGGCGGAGCAUGCGGAUUAAUUCGAUGCAACGCGAAGAACCUUACCUGGGCUUGACAUGUUCCCGACGGCCCCAGAGAUGGGGUUUCCCUUCGGGGCGGGUUCACAGGUGGUGCAUGGUCGUCGUCAGCUCGUGUCGUGAGAUGUUGGGUUAAGUCCCGC
rnacentral:rRNA from 1 species